rnacentral:rRNA from 1 species
ACUCCUACGGGAGGCAGCAGUGGGGAAUAUUGGACAAUGGGCGCAAGCCUGAUCCAGCCAUACCGCGUGAGUGAAGAAGGCCCUCGGGUUGUAAAGCUCUUUUGUUGGGAAAGAAAUCCUGUUGGCUAAUACCCGGCGGGGAUGACGGUACCCAAAGAAUAAGCACCGGCUAACUUCGUGCCAGCAGCCGCGGUAAUACGAAGGGUGCAAGCGUUACUCGGAAUUACUGGGCGUAAAGCGUGCGUAGGUGGUUGCUUAAGUCUGUCGUGAAAGCCCUGGGCUCAACCUGGGAAUUGCGAUGGAUACUGGGCGACUAGAGUGUGGUAGAGGGUGGCGGAAUUCCCGGUGUAGCAGUGAAAUGCGUAGAGAUCGGGAGGAACAUCCGUGGCGAAGGCGGCCACCUGGGCCAACACUGACACUGAGGCACGAAAGCGUGGGGAGCAAACAGGAUUAGAUACCCUGGUAGUCCACGCCCUAAACGAUGCGAACUGGAUGUUGGGUUCAACUUGGAACCCAGUAUCGAAGCUAACGCGUUAA